rnacentral:rRNA from 1 species
UACGUAGGGGGCAAGCGUUGUCCGGAAUCAUUGGGCGUAAAGCGCGUGUAGGCGGCCUUGUAAGUCCGUUCUGAAAGUCCGGGGCUCAACCCCGGGAGGCGGAUGGAUACUGCAAGGCUCGAGUCCGGAAGAGGCAAGUGGAAUUCCCGGUGUAGUGGUGAAAUGCGUAGAUAUCGGGAGGAACACCAGUGGCGAAGGCGACUACCUGGCCUGUUCUUGACGCUGAGGCGCGAAAGCUAGGGGAGCAAACGGG